GCAGGCUGUAGCUCAACGGUAGAGCAUCUGCUUUUCAUGCAAUCCCAGGUUCAAUCCCGGGAGUCUCCA